UCCACAAUUAGCAACGGGACGAGUAGGACGUUCUCUCGUAUCCUUGUGUCGUAACUUACUGAUAUAAUCCUGCGAGUUAUCUUGUGUUUUCCAUUUAGUCGCGAAGUUCUUAAAGUUAAGCGUUAUCAGAAGUUUUUCGCACGCUAAAUAUCAGAAAUAUUCUGAUAUUUUAAAUACGAUUUUCUAAUUUCGACGCUUAUAACCAUGAUGCACGUGGGCAGCAUCCUGUUUUGGGGAUCGAAGCCAUUACGAAUAAUUCAGCAUGCUUUUCCUGUUCUUCUCGCUACAGCCAUGUUGGAAUAUGAAGUAAAAGACAUCAAGAGAUGAAAAAUGCAGCUACAGCAUUAAAGAAGUUUGUCAGAAAAUAUUUUCCAGCAUGCGUUUCAGAAGCUUGUAGAAAGCUGUAAAGAAUGCUAUUUUGAGAAAGAAAUUUAUUUCUACUAUCAAGAUAGUUCAAAACUUGAAUAAUGAGAUUGUGGAAACUGUUGCAGGAGAUCAAUAAUCUAGAUGCCAUCAUUCUUGUAAAAACGAAAAGAAUGUAUCAUUAUUGUACAUCAAUGUAAAAAAAUUUGAUAAAUUCUAAUAUAAAUUGGAAAACAGA